UGGGGAAUAUUGGACAAUGGGCGCAAGCCUGAUCCAGCCAUGCCGCGUGAGUGAUGAAGGCCCUAGGGUUGUAAAGCCCUUUCACCGGUGAAGAUAAUGACGGUAACCGGAGAAGAAGCCCCGGCUAACUUCGUGCCAGCAGCCGCGGUAAUACGAAGGGGGCUAGCGUUGUUCGGAUUUACUGGGCGUAAAGCGCACGUAGGCGGACUUUUAAGUCAGGGGUGAAAUCCCGGGGCUCAACCCCGGAACUGCCUUUGAUACUGGAAGUCUUGAGUAUGGUAGAGGUGAGUGGAAUUCCGAGUGGAGAGGUGAAAUUCGUAGAUAUUCGGAGGAACACCAGUGGCGAAGGCGGCUCACUGGACCAUUACUGACGCUAAGGUGCGAAAGCGUGGGGAGCAAACAGG
rnacentral:rRNA from 1 species